rnacentral:rRNA from 1 species
GGAGGGUGCAAGCGUUAAUCGGAAUUACUGAGCGUAAAGCGUGCGUAGGCGGUUCGUUAAGUCUGCUGUGAAAGCCCCGGGCUCAACCUGGGAAUGGCAGUGGAUACUGGCGAGCUAGAGUGUGAUAGAGGAUGGUGGAAUUCCCGGUGUAGCGGUGAAAUGCGUAGAGAUCGGGAGGAACAUCAGUGGCGAAGGCGGCCAUCUGGAUCAACACUGACGCUGAGGCACGAAAGCGUGGGGAGCAAACAGGAUUAGAUACCCUGGUAGUCCACGCCCUAAACGAUGCGAACUGGAUGUUGGUCUCAACUCGGAGAUCAGUGUCGAAGCUAACGCGUUAAGUUCGCCGCCUGGGGAGUACGGUCGCAAGACUG